rnacentral:rRNA from 1 species
AUUGAACGCUGGCGGCAGGCCUAACACAUGCAAGUCGAGCGAGCGGCGGACGGGUGAGUAAUGUAUGGGGACUGCCCGUUAGAGGGGGAUCACUACUGGAAACGGUGGCUAAUACCGCAUACUAUCGUAAAACCUUGAUGGGAUUAGGUAGUAGGUGGGGUAAAGGCUCACCUGGGCGACGAUCUCUAGCUGGUCUGAGAGGAUGAUCGGCCACACUGGGACGGAGAAACGGCCAAGACUCCUACGGAGGCAGCAGUGGGAAAUAUUGGACAAUGGGCGCAAGCCUGAUGCAGCCAGGCCGCGUGUAUGAAGAAGGCCUUAGGGUUGUAAAGUACUUUCAGCGGGGAGGCGUUACCCGCAGAGGAAGCACCGGCUAACUACGUGCCAGCAGCCGCGGUAAUAC